UCUACGGGAGGCAGCAGUGAGGAAUAUUGGUCAAUGGCCGUAAGGCUGAACCAGCCACGUCGCGUGAAGGAAGAAGGAUCUCUGGUCUGUAAACUUCUUUUAUAGGGGAAUAAAGGUAUCAACGUGUGGAUAUUUGCAUGUACCCUAUGAAUAAGAAUAGGCUAACUGCGUGCCAGGAGACGCGGUAAUACGGAGGAUUCGAGCGUUAUCCGGAUUUAAUGGGUUUAAAGGGGGGGUAGGUGGUUUUUUAAGUCAGCGUUGAAAGUUUAUGGCUCAACCAUAAUAUUGCCGUUGAAACUGGAAGACUUGAGUGUGUUAGAGGUGGGCGGAAUGCGUGGUGUAGCGGUGAAAUGCAUAGAUAUCACGCAGAACACCGAUUGCGAAGGCAGCUUACUAGGCCAUAACUGACGCUGAGGCACGAAAGCGUGGGGAGCAAACAGGAUUAGAUACCCUUGUAGUC
rnacentral:rRNA from 1 species